rnacentral:rRNA from 1 species
UUGACCCACCAACAAAACCUUGACCUCAAAUCGGGUGAGACUACCCGCUGAACUUAAGCAUAUCAAUAA